rnacentral:lncRNA from 1 species
GAGGAAUCAUGUUUUGAAUACCCUGUUUCUUCGUAAAGGCCACGACUUCCUCACACGGUUUGUUUCGCUGACAAAUGUUCUCUCUCCUCAGACAGAGCUGAGCCCCUAAAAUGUGAGAAGCCUCUCGGGACUGGCUUUCUCAAGAAGACUACGUGGCUACCACACAAUUCCCUUGAAGAGGGGCGCCUGCAUUUCCCUGGAUGGACCCAGAUGCUGCCUCCACAAGGAGGGCACGUGAAACAUCAGAAGAAUUGAGAAGACUCUAACAGACAACGUAGUGGUUAAGAGGAGGGGACUCUGAAGUCAGAUUGCCUGGGUUCAAGUCUGACUCCACCACCUGCUGGCUGAGUGGAUCUUUGUGCUGAUUACUCAGCUUCUCUGAAAGGUCAUAAAAGACAUUGCAGCUUCUGCCUUGCUCUCUCUUGGAUCCCUGGCUCUGAGGGAAACCAUAUCAUGAAGAUGCACGAGCAGCUUUAUGGAGAUGUCCAAGUGGUGAAGAACUGAGGCCUCCUACCAACAGCCAUGUGAGUGAGCAUCUUGGAAGCAGACUCUCCAGCCCAUCAAGACAAGGACAGCCUUGACAGACACUUUGAAGAGACCCAGAGCGAAAAUCACUCAGCAAAGCCAUUCUUGGAUUCCUGAUAAACAGAAAGAACUGAGGUAACUCAAGCAAGUCAUUUGGGAUUUCAUAAUUUUGUUUCAUUUUUUCCUCGUGAAAUUGUCUUCACUAAGGGCAGAUGAAGGAGCCACUUGAAAUGAGUUCCAUGUCAAUGGAGGACGCCUGCCACAGCAUGGCUUGACAAGUGGUGCAUAUGUCCACACCCAGGAUCCGAACCAGCGAACCCCAGGCCGUUGAAGCAGAAUGUGUGAACUUAACCGCUGUGCCACUGGGCUGGCCCCUGCAAUAUGUUCUUGAUGUAGUUCAAGCAAUAUUUGAAGUUUCAGUGGAAGCUUUUGAAUCUCACUUCCAAGGUGUAGAUUGUUACAUGGUAAACAUGCUUGCUCAGGCUGAUGCCUUUUUAUUAGAACUGUAUGCUCUUUAUUCUGUUGAUUUUCUUCACGUGUCUUAAAUAUGUCCUUAUUUUUCUCCUUCAAGCCUUUCUAAGUAAACGGCAUCAAUGAGUUUCUUCAAAUCAACUUCUGAUUCAUAGUCUAGGUAAUCUCUAUUUGCUGAUCUACUCUUUUUGUCUAAUUUCAAGUUACCCUCAUGUAAUGUUUCUAGAAAGAACAGGCUUUAGUUCAGUUUCAGAUACUUUGACUGGCUCUCCUUAUCACUGAC